rnacentral:rRNA from 1 species
AUGAUUCCGCAACAAAAAAAACUUCCUAGAUUAAUGGGCUGGAAUGGGCUGGCCGAGGGCUUCGUUUCGGCCUCUGUAGCAGCAGCCCAUAGGACACCUGGGCCAUUAUUUGAUAGAUGUGCGGGAACCCUAGUAGCCGCCGCCCGCCGCCACCCGCUGUGCCUAUCCCCAUGGCCGCUUCCCCUCCUCCGACGAAAGUGGUCGCCGGCGCUGAAGACGGGAACUCCUCCUCCGCCAUCCCCAAGAUCCAGCCGACGGAGGCCAAAGUCGGCGAAGAGAAGGCCGCCGCCAUGGAAGCAACGUCAUGGUUUGGCCGGUUUGGGCAGCUCUACUUGGCCCUCUCGUCAUCCGCGCCUCGCCGGUCAAGACAGAAACCGAGAGGGGGAAGGCCACCGGUGCAGCGACGGGAACUCCUCCGCCGCCAGUCCCAAGACCCACCCGCCGCACGCCGGAAGUGCCUGUGUGAAGACAUCCUGGCCAGGCCGCUUUGGCCAGUACUACUACCCCGUCCUCCUUGCACUGCUCAUCCGCAUCUUACCGAGUAAAAAAGACCGGAGGGAGUACUGGCUUGAGACCUUCUGGAAGCUCAGCCCCAUCCGCCGUGCAUUUAUCAUACGCGCCUUCAUGGCCAUGGGUUUCAUGCUGAUCCUGGCCUUGGCCGUUCCUGCCCUGUUACUGGUGCACUUCCACGGGCAGGAGAUGGCCCAGGUGUGGGUCAUGUCGCUCACUCUGUGUUCAUACGCCUUCCAUGCCUCCCUCUUCAUCUGGAAGGAUUGGUGGUUCUACACAGACUUCGCGCGUCUCUCUUACGGCCCCCUGCUGGCCUACUUCGCUGCCACUGCCAUCGGCCCUUGCACCGCCAUCUUCAUCCUGCAUUGGAGCACGGUUUGGGCCGCUGGAUACCUGGGCUGCUGCAUCGCUUUGCACCGCCUGCACAAGGGGACCGAGCGGGGCAUUCACGAGUUGCCUAGGCGGUCGUGCCAUAGCAAGUACACACCCAAAGAACUCACCUUCUUGGUCUGUAUCAGAGUGCUCAUUCUCUCGGUGGGUUGGACUAUGUUCAUGGCGUUGCCGAUCUACGGAUUUGAGCUGACUGAACAGCUGUCUAUUGUCGUACUCCUCUCCUCCAUUGGCUGGAUGUAUGUCACCCUCUGGUUAUACCAUGUCGCUAACUAUCUCAUGCACGGAGUUCUCCUUAAGGGGCCAAUGAAUUCACUUCCAUAUCUGAUCCCAUGUGCCGUGUUCACUCCUACACUCUUGCUUCUGCCUGUUAUGUUAUCGGUAUUGUUACAUUGGCUGUUGCUGAUGGCCGUGGUUGGCUUCCUUGGGUACCAUCUUGCUGUUUACAUAUGCUACUUGCACACUGCCGCACCAUGGUAUGUGUGA